GGGAGUCGGGCGGCGGGUCCUCGAGGACCAGUCUCCUGGUACGUGUGGGUAUCGGCGUCGAGGGGGGCCUGGGCAAUGGGCAUUUCCGGGUGCUCUGCAAUAAGGGGGGUGGGGGAGCCGGUCGUGGGCUGAGGAGAAGAAGGGGCCGGUCGCGGGCCUAGCUGAGCAGGCACUGUGCUUCUGAAGAGCAGCCACCUACUGUCAGGCCUGGAGCGACGGCGUGCUUGACGGCUAAGUGGCCCCUCGGCCUCGGAGGGUCCGAGGUUUUCCGCGCCCGCGCCUUCGCGUUCCAACUUGGAAGCCACACGGCCAGCCUUGUAAACCAGGGGGCGGGGCAGUGCCGCAGGAGGGCGGGUCCGGGGGCGGAGCGGUAGCGCUCGCGCGCGCUCUCCACCUAUCAGGAGGAUUCGGGAGGGCCUGCGGAGCGUGACGUGAUCGGCAAGGCCGAGGGGGCGACCUGCGGCCUACAGAGCCUCGGCUGCCCGCGCGGGGUUGCGCGCGCACUCCGGGCCUCGUAGCCACGUUCAACCCCGUCGUGACUUAAAAGACGUGACGCUAGUAGGUCCUUUCUCGCUCCCCCGAACCUCCCGGAGCUGGUGACAGCCAGGUGGCGUGCGCACCGAGGGAACCAGCGAGCCUCUCCAAAGUUUUCAAGUACACUCCCGGAAGCCCUCUGGCGGGGGGCAACGGGCCCACCUCACCAGUUUCUGCGCCAGGUGGAGCGCAGUGAGGGUCUCGGUGUGGGAGACGCCCCUCGACAGGGCUCUUGUGGCCAGACAGGUGGGAAGGCACUUAAGGAGAGCUGCUAUAAGAGGUACUUGGGGCCGCCUGUGGUUGUGCUGUGCCCCCAAAUCCAAGACCUCCAGUGACAUCCUGGCUCUCUGUGCGUGUGGAUGGGUCCUGUGCCGGUUGCCUUGCCUUGUGUUCCUUUGCAGUUCCCUGGAAUGGAUUGGACGGAGUGAAGCAUGCGGAAUCUGUGUUCUCUUUCCCCACAAAUGUCAGAAUUGGGUCUUCCCUUGUCCAGCUGGCUCUUGGGGAGUGGUGGCAUUUCCUGGGGUGUAGAAGAUUGCCUGAAGGAGAGCCCAAGGUGGCUGUAGGCAGGACAUGGGAUCAGAGAGGCCAAGAGGCUCGCCCAGUCACACAGCCAGAGAGGAGUCGAGAUGGCAAUGGUUUCCCUCAUGUCUGGGCUUCCUUCGGUCCAGGAAGCAGCUGCUUGAGAUUACAGGGCAAGGCAUUGCCAGAAGAGUUUGCAGACCUGGAUCCCGUGCCUAAAAUAGUAUGGCUCAGAAGGGCCUAAGAAGAGAGCUUGGGGCAUUGCUGGCACUUGGUAAAUAUUUGUUCAAUGAAUGGAUUUUUAUAGAUGGGAAACAAGAAAUGACCAAAAUGUGUUCUCUCUUCAGGAGACCGCUGAAAACCAGCACAUAUGGGUGGGCAACAACAGAUGUUGGCGAGGAUGCGGAGAAAGAGGAUGUCUUUUGCACUGCUGGUGGGAAUGCAAACUCGUGCAGACACUCUGGAAACCAGUACGGAGGUUCCUCAAAAAACUAAAAAUAGAACUACCCUAAGACCCAGCAGUUGCACUACUGGGCAUUUAUCCAAGGGAUCCAGGUGUGCUGUUUCGAAGGGACACAUGCACCCCAGUGUUUAUAGCAGCACUAUCCACAAUAGCCAAAGUGUGGAAAGAGCCCAAAUGUCCAUCGAUGGAUGAACAGAUAAAGAAGAUGUGGUAUAUAUAUAUACAAUAGAGCAUUACUCAGCGAUCAGAAUGAAAUCUUGCCAUUGCAACUAUGUGGAUGGAACUGGAGGGUAUUAUAUGCUAAGUGAAAUUAGUCAGAGGAAGACAAAUAUCAUGACUUCACUCAAAUGAGGACUUUCGGAGACAAAACAGAUGAACAUAAGGGAGGGGAAGCAAAAAUAAUAUAAAAACGGAGGGGGACAAAACCUAAGAGACUCUUAAAUACAGAGAACAAACAGAGGGUUGCUGGGGAAUUGUGGAGGGGGAGGGGCUAAAUGGGCAUUAAGGAAUCUACUCCUGAAAUCAUUGUUGCACUAUAUGCUAACUAACUUGGAUGUAAAUUAAAAAAAAUAAAAUUAAUAUGCAAAAAAAUUGCCUUUAUAAGUUUACGGUUGAAGGGUUUUUUUUUGUUCUUUUAAAAGCUGCUUGAUUUCUUUUCCCAUUAUUCCCACUAAUUGCAUAACUUAAUUUCUUUUUUCAUGUUGCCCCUCAGCAUUACUUUACUGACGUUUUAGGAAGUUAAAUGUUCUGCUACCAUAAAUACCAAAAAUAUCCGCAAGUCUCUGAAGCAGUCGUGAGAAAGGCAGUCCUGACUUGUCCUGACCAGCAGGGGGCCAGCCGGGAGCCAGAUUAUUUGAUUUUCACCCAGUUAAUUCAGACUUUUGAGGGUGAGCUGUGCCUCAAAAAAGCUUCCCUGGAAGCUUCCAAAUAGGCAGAAGCUUCCUUCCAGCCACCUGCUAGCAGUGUGCCUGCUUCCCGUGCCUCACUACAAACCUGUAUCUCUUGGCUCCUCCUGUCUGGACACUGGGCUCUGCACAGGUUCCUGAAUAAUCUAAGUUUGCACCUGCCACUGGACCUUUGCACAUGCCGUUCCCUCUGCCUGGAAUGCUUUCCCCUCCUUUUCCACCUGGUUAUUUCUCCUUCUCAAUCAUUUCUUCCUUAGGGAAGACUUCUCUGCUACCAGAACAGGAAAACCCUUUUGUUUUAUGUUAUGAGUAACACCCUUUUUUGAUAUGAUUAUCUGUAUGAUCAUCUAUAUGGUUAUUGUGAGUAACCAUAGUUAUACAGCCUUCUCGUAGUUUGCCAAGGGGUGGGGUGUUAGCCUGGGAGACCCCGAGACCUAUUUCUAUACCCAAACUCACAAGAAACUUCUAGGCUGAUACUGUAUGUUUUACAGUGGGAGCUGUGACAAUCGGUAGUUUCUUCAGCGACCAUGAAAGUGGGGAGCAGGGGUUGAGGCUGGAUGCAUCUGUUCCCCUUUUCUGUUCAACUUUCGUUUUCCCUGAAGUUAAGAAUUCUCUCUCUUUAUUUUCCCUUUUACUUAGUUUUCUCUGCACUGCUCACGAAUUCAUCCCCGAACUUUGCUCAGCCUGUUUAUAUCUCCCUUCCUGACGACCAAACACGUUAGGUGUCCUUUGCCACUGAUUUCUUGAGGAAGCCACAUCUCCAGAGCCUCCUGACUUCUUCAGUGUGGCUGGCCUCACUCUGCCGUCCACUGCUGGUGGGAAUGCGGAACGGUGCAGGCACUUGGGAAGAGUUCGGCAGUUCCCUACAAAAGUGUACACACCCUUACCAUACGAUCCUGCAAUUGCGCUCUGGGGCAUUUCCUCAAAUGAGCUGAAAACUUAAGUCCACGCAAACACCUGCACCCAGAUAUCUGAGCAACUCUAUUCAAAACGGCUACAACUUGCGAGCAACCGAGAUGUCUUUCGGUAGAUGAAUGCAUAUAUAAACUGUGCUGCAUCCAGAACAAUGAAAUAUUAUUCAGUGCUAAAAGCAAAUGAGCUACCGAGCCAUGAAAAGACGUGGAGGAAACAUCAACGCUUUUCACCAAGUGAGAGAAGCCAGCCUGAAAAGACCACAUCCUGUAUGCUUCCAGCCAUGUGACAUUCUGGAAAAGGCAAAGCUCGAAAACUUUCAGGAAAAAAAAAAAAGCAGAAGGAAAUAUCCACAACCUCAGGAGAGGUGAAGAGUCCUUAGACUAUGACACCAAAAACAUGAUCCAUAAAGGAAAUAAUAAAUGGAUAAAUUACAGACUGGGAGAAAAUAUUUCCAAACCACAUAUGUAACAAAGGACUACUAUCUAAAAUGUAUAAAGAACUGUCCAAACUCUGCAGCAACAUGUGACACAGUCCAAUUCAAAAAUGGGCAAAAGAGGGGCGCCUGGGUGGUUCAGUCGGGUGGGUGCCUGACUUCGACUCAGGUCACGAUCUCAUGGUUCAUGAGUUCGAGCCCCGCGUCGGGCUCCGUGCUGACGGCUCAGAGCCUGGAGCCCGCUUCGGAUUCUGUGACUCCCUCUCUCUCUGCCCCUCCUCUGCUCAUGCUCAUGCUCUGUCUCUCAAAAAUGAAUAAACGUUAAAAAAAAAAAAAGUUCAAACAUUUUUGUUUCUCUGAUCCUGGUCAGGUAAGUCAUCCCCAAUCGGCACAAUGUUUGCCAAAGUCAAAUUUGUCUACACAGUGUCAACAGAGUAUUUGCAAACACCAGCUAACAGACUGUUUUCCACUUCAGCCUUUGGAAACUAUUCCAGUUUUUGGAAUAUCUCAGUUUUCUCUGAGAUAUGGGUAGAGCUUGGUCCAGUAAAAUAAAUAAAUGCAUACAUACAUACAUACAUACAUACAUAAAUACAUAAAUAAAAUAAAAGCCUACUGAAACCAUAUAAUGUGUCUAUAGGCUAGUACCAGAAAACAAGUGUUACCACUGCGGAAAGUAACUACCAAAUGUGAAAUUGGGAAUCUCCCUUCUCCCACUCUCCCCACAUGGCUGAAGGUUUUCCACACAUGGACAUUUGUAUGGGAGACACAUAUGUGAAGUGAGUAUUUCUUCAGAGGAAAGAAAAAGGAACAGUUUCUGUGAAUAGAAACAAAUCUGCCUAGAAUGUACAAGUGGAAAGAAAGAAGAAGGUUAUGCACGCUAUGAUUCCAUUUAUAAAACAUCUUCUAGAAGAUGUGGAGACAGAUUAAUGGUUGUCAGGGGUAAGGGACGGCUGGGGAGGGGUAGCAUGAAGAGUCCUUUUGUGGUGAUUCAUCUUCGCAAAACAUUUUUAAUUGAGUUAAAAUUGACAUAUAACAUUGUAUCAGUUUCAGGCGUACAAAAUAAUGUGGUGAUUAAUCUUGAUUGUGGUAGUGGUUAUGUGUGUCUCUAUGGCUGAUCAAAUUGCU